rnacentral:sRNA from 1 species
UCUGCUUGGCUUGCUUGGCUUGCUUGGCUUGCGAAUCGGAGGGGGUCGGGGCUGGUCACCUUGCGAGUUGAAACAUAACCGAAAACAACUCUCAGCAACGGAUAUCUUGGCUCUUGCAACGAUGAAGAACGCAGCGAAAUGCGAUACGUAGUUGUGAAUUGCAGAAUUCCGCGAAUCAUCGAGUUUUUGAACGCAAGUUGCGCCCGAGGCUUGUCCAAGGGCAUUUCCGCUAGAGCGUCACCGCGCCCCCCACCGAUCCGCUCCCACCGGGAGUCGCGUCGAGUGGAAGUGGCCAUCCCGGCGGAGCCCAAACCGGCCUCAAGCAAGGGUUGGCUGAAAUGGAGGGAAUCGGGCCGCCGUGGUGACACAGUCCGCGAUCGGGUGAUUUUCGGGCUCCUCCUCCUUUGGUGUGUGUGAGCCCGGGAUUUUUCUAAGUGCGAGGCUGCGUCGCCCAGUUGGUCGUGGGUUACCUCGUGCAGGUCGAGCGCGCCCCCGCGGCGCGCGUCACGCAUCAGACCUCUAAUCG